AAUAACGUAGACGAAAGUUACGCUAAUACCGCAUACGAUCUAAGGAUGAAAGUGGGGGAUCUUCGGACCUCAUGCUCAUGGAGUGGCCGAUAUCUGAUUAGCUAGUUGGUGAGGUAAAGGCUCACCAAGGCGACGAUCAGUAGCUGGUUUGAGAGAACGACCAGCCACACUGGAACUGAGACACGGUCCAGGCUCCUACGGGAGGCAGCAGUGGGGAAUUUUGGACAAUGGGGGCAACCCUGAUCCAGCAAUGCCGCGUGAGUGAAGAAGGCCUUCGGGUUGUAAAGCUCUUUUGUCAGGGAAGAAACGGUGAGUUCUAAUACAGCUUGCUAAUGACGGUACCUGAAGAAUAAGCACCGGCUAACUACGUG
rnacentral:rRNA from 1 species